GUUCUAGGAACGCCCCCUGGCGCUGUAAAUUGCAGUGCGUUCGGGAUCUCAGAUGUUAGACAAGCUGGCGGCGGGUGUCACUGUUGCGAGGAGAAAACUAAGAUUGAGAGAAGAUAAGUCACAGAGUGAAUUCCUGGUGAUGCCACGGCUUGAAGAUGAAAUUCCAGACUCCAUGCUCUUAAACCACGGAACCUAUUUCUACAGUUACUACUACUGUUGUUUUGUUGCUGUUGCUAAGUAAACAUUGUGUUAGAUCUAA